GGCGAACGCUGGCGGCGUGCUUAACACAUGCCAGUCGAACGGAAAGGCCCUUCGGGGUACUCGAGUGGCGAACGGGUGAGUAACACGUGGGUGAUCUGCCCUGCACUUUGGGAUAAGCCUGGGAAACUGGGUCUAAUACCGAAUAGGACCACGCGCUUCAUGGUGUGUGGUGGAAAGCUUUUGCGGUGUGGGAUGGGCCCGCGGCCUAUCAGCUUGUUGGUGGGGUAAUGGCCUACCAAGGCGACGACGGGUAGCCGGCCUGAGAGGGUGACCGGCCACACUGGGACUGAGAUACGGCCCAGACUCCUACGGGAGGCAGCAGUGGGGAAUAUUGCACAAUGGGCGCAAGCCUGAUGCAGCGACGCCGCGUGAGGGAUGACGGCCUUCGGGUUGUAAACCUCUUUCAAUAGGGACGAAGCGCAAGUGACGGUACCUAUAGAAGAAGCACCGGCCAACUACGUG
rnacentral:rRNA from 1 species